UUACGGAAGGCAGCAGUAAGGAAUAUUGGUCAAUGGGCGCAAGCCUGAACCAGCCAUGCCGCGUGCAGGAUGACGGCCCUAUGGGUUGUAAACUGCUUUUGUACGGGAAAAAACCCGCCGACGUGUCGGGGGCUGAUGGUACCGUAAGAAUAAGGAUCGGCUAACUCCGUGCCAGCAGCCGCGGUAAUACGGAGGAUCCUAGCGUUAUCCGGAUUUAUUGGGUUUAAAGGGUGCGCAGGCGGAAUUAUAAGUCAGUGGUGAAAUCCUGCAGCUUAACUGCAGAACUGCCAUUGAUACUGUUAUUCUUGAGUAUAUUUGAAGUGGGCGGAAUGUGUCAUGUAGCGGUGAAAUGCUUAGAUAUGACACAGAACACCAAUUGCGAAGGCAGCUCACUAAACUAUAACUGACGCUCAUGCACGAAAGCGUGGGGAUCAAACAGGAUUAGAUACCCCAGUA
rnacentral:rRNA from 1 species